ACGGAAGGCAGCAGUGGGGGAUAUUGCACAAUGGGGGAAACCCUGAUGCAGCGACGCCGCGUGAGUGAUGAAGUAUUUCGGUAUGUAAAGCUCUAUCAGCAGGAAAGAUAAUGACGGUACCUGACCAAGAAGCACCGGCUAAAUACGUGCCAGCAGCCGCGGUAAUACGUAUGGUGCAAGCGUUAUCCGGAUUUACUGGGUGUAAAGGGAGCGCAGACGGCAUGGCAAGCCAGAUGUGAAAGGCAGGGGCUCAACUCCUGGACUGCAUUUGGAACUGUCAAGCUAGAGUAUCGGAGAGGUAAGUGGAAUUCCUAGUGUAGCGGUGAAAUGCGUAGAUAUUAGGAGGAACACCAGUGGCGAAGGCGGCUUACUGGACGAUAACUGACGUUGAGGCUCGAAAGCGUGGGGAGCAAACAGGAUUAGAUACCCUGGUA
rnacentral:rRNA from 1 species